rnacentral:lncRNA from 1 species
CCUGAUAGCAACUGACGCUCCUCUGCAGCAUCUCAACUUUUUAAACAUCUGAGCACACAACAGCUGCCUCAGUGGGAGGGGAGACAUACGCAGAAGGGCCUAAAUAUAGGACAUGAGUGCACACACACAUGCACACACUCACACACACACACUCACACACACACACACACACACACACACACACGCGCGCGCGCGCACACAGACUCUCUCUCACCCACACACAUGCACACACUCUCUCUCAUCCACACACAUCCAUACACUCUCCGUCAUCCACAUGCGGACAUGCACACACCAACUUCCACAUCCACUCACAAGCUCACACCCACACGCAGACACACACUCUCUCUCUCGCUCACACACACACAGACAUACACUCUCUCUCUCACUCACACACACAGACAUAUACUCACUCUCUCACUCACACACAUGCAGACACACACUCUCUCUCUCACUCACACACAUGCAGACAUACACUCUCUCUCUCACUCACCCACACGCAGACACACACUCUCUCUCUCACUCACACACAUGCAGACAUACACUCUCUCUCUCACUCACCCACACGCAGACACACACUCUCUCUCUCACUCACACACAUGCAGACAUACACUCUCUCUCUCACUCACACACACACAGACAUACACUCUCUCUCUCACUCACACACGCAGACAUAUACUCUCUCUCUCACUCACACACAUGCAGACAUACACUAUCUGUCUCACUCAAACACACGCAGACAUACACUCUCUCUCUCAAUCACACACACGCAGACACACACUCUCUCUCUCACUCACACACACGCAGACACACACUCUCUCUCACUCACACACACGCAGACACACACUCUAUCUCUCACUCAAACACACACAAACAGACACACACUCUCUCUCUCUCACUCACACACACACAAACAGACACACACUCUCUCUCUCACUCACACACACAAACAGACACACACUCUCUCACUCACUCAUACACAGACAGACACACACUCUCUCACUCACACACACACAAACAGACACACUCUCUCUCUCUCACUCACACACACAGAAAGGCACACACACUCUCUCUCUCUCACUCACACACACACAAACAGACACACACUCUCUCUCUCACUCACACACACAGACAGACAUACACUCUCUCUCUCUCACUCACACACACACAAACAGACACACACUCUCUUUCUCACUCACACACACAGACAGGCACACACACACACUCCUCUGAACC